GAGGGGGCAGCAGGGAAAGCUCCAGCUGAUCUGCAAUGCCCUUCAAGCCCAGAGGCGGGAUGCCAGCCCGUCAUGCUCUAACCUGGAAAAUCAAGCCCAGUUUCCCCAAAGAGCUAAAGAAUUAGGCACACCUUCUGGAUCCAGUGAACCAGUGUCCCAAGAACACACCCGGAGACAUUGAAGAGGACAUCACCUCUCAGUGCUGCUGGAAAUCCUGGCAUAGCUGAUGCUGGGCACAGUUCUCGUGGCUUCAGCACUCUCCCUGCCUGUAGAUAGCUCCCUCCCUCUAGAUAGCUCCCUUCCUCCAGCCCCCAGACACUGCCCAUCACCUUUUUUUCUCUCCACAUGUCCUCCCUUUUGAUAGCUCUGCCUCACCAGCCCUCAGCCUAUCCAUCACCUUUUCUUCCCCUCCACUCUCCCUCCCUGUUGACAGCUCCCUACCUCCAGCCCUCAGACCCUGCCCAUCCCCCUUUUCCCUCCCAUCUCAUCUCUUUGUUUCAUCUUCCAUAUAAUAAACGGUUUGGCUUCUUCA